rnacentral:lncRNA from 1 species
GAUUUGAUAGGUACCUGCGCAGAGUUAGAGCACUCCUCCUCAGGCAUUCAAUACAUCCUGCUAUCAAGGAUGUAUUUGCGUGAGUUCGAACUCGUUGAUAUGAUCGCCAUCUGUUUCCUCUCUUAACAUGUCUGCAGCGAUGCACCUCACCUUCCUGCUGUCCCUGUUGACGGUGACACUCUGUGGCGGUGAGCCGCCCUCCACCACCACGCCCUCCACCAUCACGCCUUCUAUCACCACACCCUCUGCAACCACGCCCUCAGCCACCACGCCCCCUGCCACCACUCCCUCCACCAUCCCGCCUUCUACCACCACGCCUUCCAUCACCACUCCUUCUACCACCAUGCCCUCCACAAACAUCACAACUACUGCAAAACUCUCCACUGCCACUCCACUACAAACAACACAGCAUAAUUCUAGUGACACUUCAACUGCACCUUCACCACAAACACCCAACAGGACGGAGGAAACUCAUCCCAGCACUGCUCCUCAGACCAACCGGACAUCAAACAACACCCAGUCAUCAACGUCAGAAUCACCAAACGUCACUGCAACAACCUUCCUGAACACAACCAGCACAGAUCUUUCACCUGACUGGGGAAAAGACAGUUUGGCAGAAAACCCCGGCCUUGUAGCCAUCAUUUGCAUCUUCUGUAUCAUCCUCGUCCUGGUGUUGGUGGUCGCCACGGUGAAAUGUAUCCUAUCACCAAGAUCCAACUUUGAGAGGCUUGAAGAUGUACCACUGGGCGCAGUGAGCGAGGAGUCUCCGUUCGCCCACUACUCAAAGUGACACAGGAGGCUUCACUGAGGAGGAGUCCAGUCUGCUCUGAUAAAACAGACACGCCGUCCUCCCAAAAAAAAAAUCUGCUUUUGUGCCCACUGCGCAGGCUCCUUUUUCACUUUUUUGAAAUACAUCUGCCUCAGCUUUGUCAUGUUUGUUAUUUGGCUGAUUGUAAUCUAGUUGAUUAAACCUUCCUCAGCAGAUUCUAUUGACAGCCUAAAAGGUAGAACAGUUAAUGUGAUUCUUCCUAAAUUGGUGGCUGUACUGGCACUGUAUGUCCUCAGCGUAUGAAAGAAUACAGCGCUUCAGUCGUUUUGUUUUAAUGACAACAUUCCUACAUGUUUUGGAGGAUAUGUUUUAAGAGGAGCCUAACGGUUGCUGGUGUGCGUCAGAUAUAAUUUGUAUUAUUUAUUGCCAUGUUGUAUAAGUACUGUCUUCUCUGGCUUCCUCUGGAGGGUCAGCAGUGUUCAGAGGCAGAAAUAAACUUGUUGGUUUGAUUCA